CUGUGUCUUGCCUCAACAGUGUUUGAACGGAACAG
rfam:Oryctolagus cuniculus cont2.57903, whole genome shotgun sequence.